GUCUUUUUGUAAUAAAUAUAAAGUUUGACCUGCCCAUUGAAUUUUUAAAAGGCUGCGGUAUUUUGACCGUACAAAGGUAGCAUAAUCAUUAGUUUUUUAAUUGAAAACUUGUAUGAAUGGUUGAAUGAGAAAUUAACUUUUUUAAUAUAAAAAUUGAAUUUUAUUUUUUAGUUAAAAGGCUAAAAUAAAUUUAAAAGACGAGAAGACCCUAUAGAGUUUUAUAAUUACAUUUAUAUUUUUAAUUUAGAUUAUUUUAUUAAAUAUAAAUUAAAUUAUUUUAUUGGGGUGAUAAUAAAAUUUAAUAAACUUUUAUUUUUUUUUACCAUUAAUAUAUGAUUAAUUGAUCCAAUAUUAUUGAUUAAAAAAUUAAAUUACCUUAGGGAUAACAGCGUAAUUUUUUUUUAAGUUCUUAUUAAUAAAAGAUUUUGCGACCUCGAUGUUGGAUUAAGAUUAAAUUUUAGGUGCAGCAGCUUAAAUUUUAAGUCUGUUCGACUUUUAAAUUCUU
rnacentral:rRNA from 1 species